CCAAAAAUCACAGCUCAGGAACAGUUUUUGUUGGUGCCUCCACGAUUCGACAUCCAGAAACACGCUGCCUGUUUGACUUCCUCCACUGAUGUGACCAAUCAGAAUCUGAACUUCUAAAGAAGCGAGGGUUCCUCCAAUGGUUAUCACUGUACGGACCAGUAAUGUAUGCUGUCAUAGUAACGAUGUCUUUUUAAGGAAGGCUUUGCUUAUUUCAGCAAGACACUGCAAAACCACAUGUUAUGCAUUACAACAACAGUGCAUUAAAGAAAUCCAGGUGCUAGACUAGAGUGCCUGCAGUGUCAAACCCAACACCCAAGUGGAAAUAUGUGGAGUAUUCUAAGGCCACAGACUGUUCAGCAAGUGAAAUCCUAUAUUCAGCAAGAACAGGUAAACACUUUGCUUUCAAAGCUGCAGCAACUGAUCUCCAAACAAAGAGAGGUGAUGCAACACAGUGGGAAGCAUGUCCUUACUGCUGUAUCUACUUCACUGAUAUGUUAAACAGUGUUACUCUUUACAGCAUCUCCCAGAGUUUUUAGAAACUGGAUACUCUGAAAUAAAUACAAAAUGAGUGCAUUUUUGUACCUUUUACCUUUUCUUAGAUAAGAUUUUUUUCCCCGCAGGACUCGUCUCUCGUCAGUACGUAUGGUGGGCAGUGUGGCAUAGCAACACUCUAAAUCAAUCUCCUACCACUGGUGCUUAUAAGCAGAGAUACUGCACUGCUCAGAUCUCUGCUCUGUGUGCAGGUCAGCUCAGCCUCUCGAAGCGAUCGCCUGCCGUCACAGCAAAGUUCAAUAUCGUGUGCAGCAGGGAUUUGAUGCAUGGGACACCGGCCUAUAAUUGGACAUGUCAGUGGCAAUUUAACGUGAUCCAUUUAUUUACCAAUCCGUCCUCGGAGUCAUCAAUCACCUCAUCCUUCAGACGCACCGUGUCGUCCCCGCAGCGGUCGCGGGCGCCUGCGUGCGAGUGAGGUGGACAGUCAUGUGGGUGGCUGUGCGCUGGUGUAGGUUUGCCUGCCUUUGACCCCCACAGCGUUAGCGGACAGGGUGUGCUAUUUGAGCAGGCAGCGAUCACGGUUAUUGGAUGACAUUUGGAACAGUGCCGAAGCGAGCCAGUGUGAGUCUUGAAUAAACACAGGGAAGGCUCCCUGCCCGCUACUGACCUUUGCAUGAGCAGGGAGGGUCAGGAGGCCUAAUACUAUGUUAUUAAGGAGAUGUUAUUUGUAUCACCUGUAACUGACUCUUGUGGGCAGCUGCCACCAAGGACUUCUUUGCUCUUUUGUUCUCGCUUUUUUUUUCUCUUCACAGAAAUAUA